AAAUGAAUUGACGGGUCCCCGCACAAGCGGCGGAGCAUGCGGCUUAAUUCGAUGCAACCCGAAGAACCUUACCUGGGUUUGACAUCAUGGGAAAAGCCGUAGAAAUACGGUGUCCGAAAGGGCCCAUGACAGGUGGUGCAUGGCUGUCGUCAGCUCGUGUCGUGAGAUGUUGGGUUAAGUCCCGCAACGAGCGCAACCCUUGUCCUAUGUUGCCAGCGGUUCGGCCGGGGACUCAUAGGAGACUGCCGGGGAUAACUCGGAGGAAGGUGAGGACGACGUCAAGUCAUCAUGCCCCUUAUAUCCAGGGCUGCACGCAUGCUACAAUGGCCGGUACAACGGGAAGCGACCCCGCGAGGGUGAGCGAAUCCCUUAAAGCCGGUCCCAGUUCGGAUUGAAGUCUGCAACUCGACUUCAUGAAGCCGGAGUCGCUAGUAAUCGCGGAUCAGCAAAGCCGCGGUGAAUACGUUCUCGGGGAUUGUACACACCGCCCGU
rnacentral:rRNA from 1 species